rnacentral:rRNA from 1 species
CUACGGGAGGCAGCAGUUAGGAAUUUUGCGCAAUGGGAGAAAUCCUGACGCAGCAACGCCGCGUGAGGGACGAAGGCCUUCGGGUUGUAAACCUCUUUUAGUUGGGAAAAACAAAAUGAUGGUACCAACAGAAAAAGCACCGGCUAACUCUGUGCCAGCAGCCGCGGUAAUACAGAGGGUGCAAGCGUUAUUCGGAAUUACUGGGCGUAAAGCGCAUGUAGGCGGUUUGGUAAGUCCGGUGUGAAAUCCCUGGGUUCAACUCAGGAAGUGCACCGGAUACUGUCAAGCUAGAGUGCGGGAGGGGGGAGUGGAAUUCCAGGUGUAGAGGUGAAAUUCGUAGAUAUCUGGAGGAACAACAGUGGCGAAGGCGACUCCCUGGACCGCAACUGACGCUGAGAUGCGAAAGCGUGGGUAGCAAACAGGAUUAGAAACCCUGGUAGUCC